CUGGAGGGGCCUCGCCGCCUGGGCCGGGCGCUCCCCGAUCCGCCUCGCCGAAACCCGCGCCCGCCUAGUCUCUCGUCUCCACGAGUUUGGGUGAGAAGUGGGCUUGCUGUGCCCAGGGAUGGAUUUUAGAGGAAGAAAGCCCGUGAGCCGGCGGACCCCGCCCGAACUUCCUCGGAGACGCCCAGUUAGUGAGUUCGCGGUGCCCACCGCGUUGGCUUCUCGCACGCCCCGCCACUCUCCACAGGGACCGUCCGGCUCCCCAAACCCACACCGGCCGCCCUGGAAAGCGGACAGCCACUUUCCCUCCACAUACCUGGCUGGCAGAGGGCGCCUCUAGGGACAAAAGGUGCCCUGGGAUCAAAGCUGAGCCCCCAACCCCGCCGGGAUGCUGCCCUCCGGAAGGGGGGGCGCUACCCCAAAGGGACACCUCGGGCACCCAGGGGGGAGGUUCCAUUUCCAUCUCUGAUUAAAAAAAAAAAAAAACCCACGGCCCUCCUAGGUACUUAGCGGGACCUGCGGGUAAGUACUGGAAUGGAAAAUACAGGCCUGCCCCUCACAGGACGGCUGCUGAGGAAUGAGAAAUAGGAAGGGAUGAGCUCUGGUGCGCAGUAGCCCCUGCAAGCAAGGAGGGCCUCCUGCAUAGGAAGAGGCGCCCACUCUGAUCACCCAGCAGCACCAAAGGAGAAAAAAAAAAAAAGCCCAUUCUAACCGACUCCUAGGAGCCAGGACACAGACUUCAAUGCAAAUACUCAACUUUGUAUUUUGCUCUGACGCCUAAAGAUGAUUUAAGGAAUACAAGUGAUUCACAAGGGGAAAAUUCAGACAAUGAACAACAAACAGCCUUGAACUUUUCCAGGGGGUAGGCGAGUACUUCAAGUGGAGUUUGUGCCUUUUUCUCUUGCUUAUUUUUUAAUUCGUGUUAUAUUAACAGAACACGGACUUGCUGAAAGGGCAGAGGAUGGCAGUUUACUGUUCGUUGUUCGACCUUCCAUACCCUUGGACCAGUUCAGGCACUGUGGGGAAAAAAAAAAUCCAUUAAACCAGGAGUCACCUUGCCCCAGAUCCCAGCCAGGUUGGAAAGUGCACACACAUAUUUCCAAAGGUAACAGUGUUUGAAGGGGAGGGGGAGAACCAGUUAGGGGCAGAGUGUAGGAAAAAAGGUCAAGGUGGAGGGCUAUCAAGAGAGCUGGAGAACCAAGGGGCACACAGUAUACAUAGGACUUGCCUUCCCCUCCAACACAAAAGACCAGCAAAUGAGGCAAGCUCUUGCAUUAUAGUGAAUAAUCAAGAAAGCAACUCCUUAAAGCGACGCUGGAAUGUCAGGAGAAAAGAGUUUUAAGAGGAGCACUGGACAGAGAAUGAGAGCUGAGUUCCAGUCCAGCUGUCCCACAGACAAGCUGCAUGGACCUGUUUGUUACCCAACCUUUUCAAGCUUUCAACUUCAUCUAUGAAGGAAUGGUUUGGACUAGAUUUACAAAGUCCUUCCAGGUCUAAAAGGCUAUGAUUCCAUUUUAGGAGGUCUCUUGCUUCAGAGUUCAUCUAACUCAGGAAGAAUGUAAUCAAAAUACGGAGAGAAUGGUACACACCCAUGAUGUCAAUUCACUCAUUUUAAAAGGAGAACUUGACCGCCAAGCAGCGACAUUUGACCAGCUGACUUUCCUCACAGAAAAGCUACUCAGGAAGGCAAACCAAACCAUGAGGUUCCUCUGCGAGCCAGGGGGAUGAGUGGGCUAAUCUUACUGGCUCACCGUGGCAAGCUAAGUUCACCUGCAGUUCCCAAUUCCUCGAAACAGGACACUGUCUUCUAAAAAGCCCCGGUGUUGGUCUGUCCCUGUUGUGGAAUCACACCAAAGCCCUGCCUUUUAGACUCCUCUCUUAGACGCUGGGUGGGCAGAUCACAGCUCUUCGGAAACCACAA